rnacentral:lncRNA from 1 species
GAAAUUUAGAACAGUGAGGUUUGUAAAGGUCACAUGUAGUUUAUAAAACCAUUUUGAAUUUCCUUAUGCCUUUCAUAUGUCUUGUUUAUUUAUGCUAAUUGGCUCUGGGUAAUUUUUAUUUAUGUGUAGAAAUCAUGACCUGAAUAUAUGAAAUAGCACAAUACCUAAAAUUCAUUGUUUAAAUGUGGUUAAGAAUAUGGAUUCUAGAAACUCUUGCUUAACAGCUCUUAAUGGCUUUGAGAUCUUGAAUUGGUUCUCUUUAUUUCACAGUUUUCUCAUUUGAAAAAUGGAAAAAAGCUCCUCCUUUAUCAGGUUGGUGUAAGUAUUAAAACACUUUAUAUAUGUACUAAGCCCUUAAAAUUGUGGCAGGCAUAAUAAACUGCAAAGUUGUUCGCUAUUGAUGUUAUUAUUACCAUCAAUAAGUUUUUAGGAUUGAAGACCAGUAUUUCAGACAGGCUAUAUGUUAUAUCCUUACAUUUCUUUUCUAUUUCUCUCCCAUUAUUAACUUACAUUAUUUUGCUAUUUUGUAUUCAGAUAUUUUAAGCAAUUUUGAAGCUCCUUUGGAACACAUCAGAUUAUACCUACAAAAGGAAAUAAGUUAUCAAAAUACAAAAAUAGUAGUCCAGUGCUUAGCAUGGUGUCUGGCACAUACAAAAGUGAUCAUGCUCAACUGGCAAGAUAAAGGAAGCCCAUCAGCCAGCAGCAUGAAUUCGAGCCACAUGUGCAUACAAUAUGGUGAAUGCCACAGUCUGUUGCUAGGUAGGUUGAAUUCAAGCUUUCUGCCUACAUACACCACUUGCAGUUCGUCCAAGUCUGUAGCACCAUUUCUGGAACCCUGGAAACUAGAUAUGGUGAACAGUUUACCUGCAAUGUCUGUGUUUUGCACACGAGAUGACUAGCUUAUUGUUUUCACAUAUAAGAAAUAAGUGGAAGCAGCACAUUGAAUGGUCUAUAAAUAAAUAGUACAUUAAGCACCAUUUUGCCAAGUACUGUGCAGACUUUUUAGUCUAAUAUGGAAAUAGAUCCUGUCACAGGUUUUUUGUUAUGAAUGCAAAUUUAAGGCAUAGUUAUAUUCAUGGUAAAAACAAGAUGAUUAGAACAAGAAUUCAUGCCUACUAUUUCAUUUUUGCCACUAAGCUGCCUCUGUUGCCUUUGUUAAAUGAAUGAGAGUUUUCUUUGGUGAAAAGGAAUGAAAUUCACAAGGUCUUUGGUCAAUUUCCUUGAGAAAAAUGAUCAGAUCUAUAGGAAUACAUUACAGGUGUUGUUCUCACAGAUUGGCAACCUCCAUGAUAAUCUACCUCCAUGAUAAUCUGCAGUAGUGACUCAGUGGCCUCAGAUCAGUGUCUAAACUUUUCAGAAUAUUAAAAACUUUCCUAUGAAAUGCUGCAAUGGGAAGGAGUUCAAAAGAUCAUAAAUGCAGACAGUAAAUUAUAACCAUAAAUGCUUCCUUGAAAUUUUUCUUUGUAUCUUGGGGAAUUACAACAGAGUCUGAAAUAAUCCAUUAAAGUGAUUUAAGACCUGUGACAAACUUUUUUUCCAAAUAAUUAUUUAAGGAACUUAUAUUAUUAAUCCUGAGAAUGCUGAUAAGCAUUGAGAAGAUCUCUCAUAAGCAUGUGGAAAAUGUGUGUUCUGUCACUAUUUAAAAGACAGCGUUUAUAUUUAGAACUGCUUCCUUAGCAUUAUUUAAUGCUCCAGCUAUAGGCAAUAUUCAUAUAUACAGAGAGAUAUUAGCAUCAGUGUGUGUGUGUUCCUAUGAUUUCUCAAUGGUUUACUUAGAAAAGCUCCAAAAUGUAUCAUUACAAGCUACUGAAAAAAAUUCAUAAUAAUUUUGACUAAGAAAAAUAGAAGUAAAAUGUUCAAGAACAAUAAUGAUUUCUACAUAAAGCAAAUGCUUUUGAAAUAAUGUGAAGAGACUUUUGAAACAAUGUGGGUUGCACAGUUUUAUUUGAAGGAUUGUGAAGUGUGUCAUUGCUGAUUGUAUCAGUCUGUGAUUUGGCUGAUCUGGAAAUCGGCCACUAGUUAUUCUCUUAAAAGCAGAAAUAGUAAAUUAAUAUUUUUGGAGAAAAACAGAAAAAGAAACAUAAAGCAGACAGAAGAAAUAGUAUAAUUAUUCCAUUAGUGAUUUUUUUUCUUUCACCCACAAAGCUCUUCUUCAUUUUAUGUUUUUUGCCGAUAUGAAUUACGAUAGAUAGAGAAAAUUUAUGAGUGAAGAAUGACUCUGAUAAAUAGUGAGAGCCCAAGGAAAUCAAGCUGAGUCCCCAUUAAUCAUGUCUGCCAGUGUGAGUAGCAAUUGUCAAGAGCCCUCAUAGACCAAGCAACCAUUCAAACCUGCUGAAAACUGGGGACACAUACAUAAUAAAACCUUUUUUAACAUAAAGUUUUUUUAAAAAACAAGUUGAAUUGGAGCUUCCUAUAUAUAUGUGUGUAUAUAGGAGCUUCCUAUCUACACACAUAUAUACUUCCUAUAUAUACACAUAUACACUUCCUAUAUAUACACACAUAUAUACACACA